AGUACUUAAUUAACUGGAUGAAGUGACUUAAUUAUAGUCACCAUGCUGUACCCCACUCUCUUCAUAAGAAAUUACUUACAGAUUGGAUCACGUGCUGUUUUGGGGUCUGAAGGCGGACUGAACUUUCCAGGUCCAGCUGCGUUUUCAGCACAUACUCUGAAGACAUAGGUGAGUCCUUCUAAUAGGCCUUCUACAUUGGUCUUCAAAGAAUUCAGAAGAUUUCUGUUGACACGAGACCAAUGUGUACUAUUAACCUCACGUUUUUCAAGCCAGUAACCCAAGAUGGGGCUUCCAUUAUCUUUUGGUUCAUUCCAUUUCACUAGCAUACUGUUGCUUGUAAUGUCUUCUACAAUGGGCUUAUCGGGUGCAUCAGGUGGUUCUGAUAAAAAAAAUGGCAUAUUUGAAUUAAUUCUCUAGUAUGACCUAAAAAUUCAAGUUUAUAAGCUAUGAUAAUGAAUAUACCCUUGCAUAUGAUAAAAGGCAAAAUGUAGAUGCUAAAAGAACCUUACCAAAUGGAUCUUUAGCUAUAAAUGGCUUUGAAACACAUGGCGGUCCAGGCCCAAACCUAUUUUCAGCUCUUACACGAAAGAGAUACUCUUUCCCUUCAAUCAGUUUUGUCACUGAAUAUUUGCAGUGUCUAAGUGUUGAAGUGACAAUAAUCCAUUCUGAGUCAGGUUUUGUCUUGUCUUUCUUUUCCAAAGUGUAGUUUAUAAUUUCACUGCCACCAUCAUCAAGGGGUGGUUCCCAUUUACAGAGGACGGAGUUCUUUCUAAUAUCUUCAAAUACAAAGUUGAUUGGUGGCCCUGGUGUAUCUAAUAUUUCAAAAGAUAGCAGUGAUUAAAAUUUUGUGUAGAAAUGGUUGCAAAGGAAAAUGUAAAUGUUAGCAUGCCCCUUUAACAUAAAUUUCUGCUUUUCCUACAUCUGUCUUUGUAUGGCUAACAAAUACCAAGGUGGGUUGAUUUUGUUUACAUAGCCAGCAGGAAAAAUGGGACUGAGGAUAACUUGCUGAAGCUAUUUCCUACUUCUUUUAUCCCCCUUCCCCACCUCCCCUGCCAAAACCCCUUUUUUAAGUUUUACUGAAACUCUUCAUAUAGACUUUCUUCCAUUGAGAAGUGUAGUUUUACCUACGUACCUAGCACACAGACAGUACAAGGAGCUUUUGCGAUACCAUGGUCAUUUUCAACUUUGAUCAUAUACAGGCCAUGGUCAGGUCGGAGAGAAUCUCGGACACGUAGCUGAGAUUCUCCCUUUUUACUGUUGUCGAUACUCAAACGUUGUGUUAGAGGCAGGACAAAUGGUUCUUCUUCUUGAACUUCACCCUUCCUCCUUCUAAUUGUGGGUGCUACUCGCUUUUUAAUUUCUUCUGGUGUAAUAACUUUUUCAUCCUUUAGCCACGUAAUAGUCGGGUAAGGUGACCCAGAAAUAGUUGCAUCAAGUUCUAUUUCAUCACCUCGUUUCACUUCUAGGCUUGUUCUCAUAAUGACUUUUGGAGCAUCUGUAAUGAUUAAAAACAAUAAUUGUUCUCAAUUCUGAUCAAAACAUUGACAAAACAUUAUUCUCCUUGAUUGUGCCGUGGGCAAACAGCAACCCCAUUAAACAAAACUUACCAAUAGGAUCUACAGCUUUGGUUGGAGGAGUGGCUCGAGAAGGUUCACUAAUACCAGCAGCAUUUUCUGCUCGCACUCUGAACUGGUAUUCCUUUCCCUCUUCGAGUCCUUUUGCUGUAUAGGUCAGGACUGGUACUAGGUGUUCAUUGCAUCUCUUCCAUGUGUCUUCACCCUUAGCAAUCUUCUCUAUGAUGUAACCCAUUAUUUUGCUCCCUCCAUCAUACAAAGGUGGCUUCCAUGUAAUAGUCAUUGCUUUAGCUGUAGGAUUAUGGACCUCAACAUCUACAGGUGGAUCAGGGGGUUCUGAACAAUAAGGAAAAAAAUGGUUAAUAUGUACCCAUGCACAAACCCAUCUUUUUUUAAGUAAAAAAUUGCAUAUUAAUUCCUAGCUAUAUUACAUCCAUGCCCCAACUUACGCUUUGGAUCUUGAGCAAUGACCGGAUUUUUCAGUUCAAUAUAUUCGCCUCCACCAAUCUUGUUGACAGCUUUAACACGGAAGAAGUAUUCACCAUUUGGUAUGAGAUCUUUUACAGUCCAAGACAGCUUGUUCUCACCAGACAUGACUGGUAUGUAUGUCCUUCUCCCAGCCUCUCUGCGUUCCAGGACAUAAUGAAGGAUUGGGCUUCCACCAUCAUAUUCUGGAGGUUCCCAAGUUAAUUUACAAGAACUCUUGGUCACGUCACUUGCUUUAAUAUCUUUGCAUGGUCCAGGUAGGCCUAUCAGAAAUAAAGUGAUAAUUAUUAUUGUAAUCUGAAAAGUCAGCAUGUUAAAAGUACACUCUUUCUUUCUCUGAGACUAUCCACCUGUUGGGUGGGAUAAUCUUUGAUGUGCUGGAAUGCCCCUCUGCCGCCUUAUGCUGAAGGCUAUUUAGCGUCAUUGGCCCCAAUUACUAAACAUAUGUAACUCCUCCGAGUUUUUGUUCUAAGUAAAAAUCACCCCCACCCAAUUUUUAAACAUCAUCUGUGUGGGAGGGGGCAGAAAGUAUUACUAAUCCUGGUGAGUACACUAUGGAAAAAUGCAAAUACAAUUAAUAAAUGAAUAUUGGCAAUUUAAACAUUCUUUGGGUACGCUGUAUCUUUUAUUUAGUACUUCACAUGCCAAUAAUUACAACAGAAGUAAAUUAGUUUAAUCAGAGUUUAACUAGCAAUUUCAUUUCUAUAAUUACUUGUCUUCCAGAUGAUUUCUUUCCAUAUGAGAAGCAAUUUAGUUUACAAAUAGCCAACUCAUGAAGCCCUUUAUACUAACACUACAAAGUUAACUAAUUUUCCCAAUGUGUGAAGAAUAAUAUCUUGUAUUUCAUCAAAGACUGAUUACCUAUGACUUUGACAUUGAUUGAGGCAGUUGCUGAGCCAAGCUUAUUCUCUAGCGUAAUGGUAUAAACUCCAGCAUCUGCAUGGACACUCUUGGGAACUUCGAGGUGUGCAGAGAUAUGAUCAUUCUUCAUUGUUAAUCUGUCACUUGCUUUAACUUCUUUGCCAUCCUUAUGCCAACUAACAGUUGGAACUGGGACAGCUCUGAAGGGAACAGGAAUUCUUAACUUUUCACCUUCAAUAACAACAAUGUCAUGAGUCUCCAUAUCAAUUGUUGGCUUGCCUGUAAGAUAUCCAAAAAGGAAAAAAAAGAUAUGUCAAAAUGCAAUGUAUGAUAAGCAAAGUCUGUUUUAUUAAUUGAAAGAAACUGUGUCCUUACAGUCUGGGUCUUUGGCAACCACAUUUUCAGAGAUUUCAGAUGGCUCACUGACACCAACAGCAUUGACAGCUCUCACUCUCAGAACAUACUCCUUGUCAGGAACAACACCUUCUUCAACUUUGAAUUUCAAGUCUUUAAUUGGGCGAGAAUUAACUCGCAUCCAUUUCUCAGUGCCUACCGGACACAUUUCAACAUGAUAUCCUAUAAUAGGACUUCCACCAUUUUUCUCUGGAGGCUUCCAGGCAAUGGCGAUGUGCUUUCUCCCAGCAUCAGUCACAUGCAAAUCAAGGGGAGGUGAAGGAGGACCUGAAAAAAGAGUGAAACAUUCACAUCCACAAUCUCAUCAUCAAGCUCUAGAUGAUAUCCUUUGUUUAAUUGACACUACUUACUUGUUGGAUCUUCAAUUGACAGGAUUUCUGUGGGUUCGCUUGGGUGACCAACUCCAGCUUCAUUUUCUGCCCGAACCUGAAACUGGACCUCUGUUCCUUCAAUGACAUCAGUUACUCUGAAGUUACAGUCAGGUCCUGAGGUCUUUCCAGCUUUCACCCAACGGGUACCUAACUUUUCUUUCUUCUCAAUAAUAUAUCUAUUGAAAUAAAGCAGUUCAUUAGUAUUAAUAGAGAAAAUACAGUUAAGAAUUUUCAGCUGAGUAUAAACUAUCCUUUGUAAAUUAAUUAAAAUUCUACCUUUGUAUUGGUCUUCCACCAUCAUUUUUAGGUGGUUCCCACUUCAGGUCAACAUGUCGCUUGGUCACAUCAACCACUGUCAGAGCAUAGGGUGGUCCAGGGGUGGCUGGAAGCAAAACAUUCAAUAGUUAGAAAAACCAGAGGGAAAAAUGAUAAUCCAGUACGAACAGUGUCACAAAUAUUAAGUUAGCAUACUAAAGGUGUCUUUGGCCAGGACAGAGUCCUCAACUUCACAGUAGUCACUUUGUCCUAUGGCAUUUUCUGCAGCAACUCGGAACACAUAUAAAGAGCCCUCUGUCAGUGGGGUUACUGUGCACUUGGUGUCCUUGACAGUUGUGUCCACUGUUUGCCAGCCUUUUCGCCUCACAUCUCUCUUUUCCACGAUAUAGUUGGUGAUGGGGGACCCUCCAUCUUUCUCAGGAACUGUCCACUUGAGGUCUGCUGUAUUUUUUGUGAUAUUAAUAACUUCAAGCCAGCGAGGUGGUGAUGGAGGAUCUAAAGAAGAAAAAAAGAAAAAUUCAAUUUUUUUAUUGUCCAAUACUCAGUCUUCACUGAAUUCUCUAGCAGUCACUAGGAAGUCACAUAGCAAUGAUGAAGCAAUCUAGUUAUGAGUUUUUCAUAUUUUCUCAUACUGUAGUUCUCAGACCUAUGUUAGAGGAAUUUAUAUACACUAAACAUCAAGAGUGACUUACAUAGCUUUUCCCUGCAGAGCACAGGGUCACUGGGUUCGCUGGGCUCACUUUCCCCAGCCUUGUUCACAGCUCUAACUCGGAAUGAGUAUUCCUGCCCUUCCAUGAGACCUUUGAGAAAAUGCUGAGUGGUGGGAACACCUUCAGCCACUCGGACCCAGUCCUCCGUUCCAGUCUUUAGCAUUUCAAUGACAUAAGACUCAAUCUUUGCCCCUCCAUCAUGUUCUGGCUUUGUCCAAUUCAACAUCAAUGAUGUUUUGCCUACAUCUUUCACAGUUGGUUUUCCAGGAGGCCAUGGAGGAUCUGCAAACCAAUGAAAUGAAACCAUGAUUUAGGUUUGUCAAAAAAGGAGUUAAUAUAAGCUUCAAAAUAACCACAUAAAAAUAUAUAAACAAUACCUAUUGGAUCCUUUAUUAAGAUUGGUUCAGUUGAUCUGCUUGGUUUUCCAGGUCCGGCAAGAUUUUCAGCCAACACACGGAAUCUGUAUUUUUUCUUAUUGGUGAGACCUUUCACUCUGAAUUAGGGACAAAGUAUGAGUUGAAUACCAUGAUAAGCAGAAGCCUCUAUGUAUUUUACAUGGAAGGAACUAAUGUAUUUAAAUUGUGAAAAACUGAUUUGGAAAUUUAACUGAAAAUAUUUCAAUAUAAUUUUAAAAUUGCCUUUUAACUUUAGAUUUGAUUGAAUGUACUAAUGUAAUUCUAAUAUCUAUAAAAAAUCAUGACCAUAAUAUACUGGAAGACCAAACACUUUGAAACUCACAGGAAGUUAGUAUUUUAUAGUAGGAAAUUAAGAAAUGUGCCCUUGAAUGGAAUUUAUAUCAUUUUUUAGAUCAUGUGGUAAUACAAAAUAUAAGUAAAAAUAAUUUAAAAUGUUAUGGUUAAUAUAUAAGAAUUUGUAAUCAAAAUGAAUGCUUGAGAAUUAAAAAUUGUGUAUACUGCUGUCUUAACACCUUGGUGGAGAUACUGGACAUACCUAUAUGUUGUGUCCUUUACUGGCAUUUUAUUGCAUCUAACCCAUUUAUCAGUAUCAGGAUCUAAUCUUUCAACCCAGUAUCCAGUGAUUGGGCUUCCUCCAUCAUCGUCUGGCUCACACCAUGUGAGAGUAACUGCAUCCUUAGUGAUAUCAGAAGGUUCUAGGCGAGUUGGAGGUCCAGGUGGAUCUAUAGGUAGGAUAAUGAUGUGUUAUAUGCCCUAUAUAUAAAUAUGACACCCAAAUCCAAGUUUGACACAAGUAUCUUUUUAAAAAUUUUUGGCCAACUUAUUAAAGAGAAACUUACCAAAUGGAUAUUUAGCUGUUACUGGAGUAGCCUGAACUGGUUCACCAACACCAUACAUGUUUUCUGCAGCAACUCUGAAGAUGUAUUCUUUAUUGGGUGUUAAUUUGGUUGCCUUGUAGUUUGUAUCCUUGACAGUUGAUGAGAGCUUGUGCCACACUUCACUGUCAGUUGCUCUUCUCUCCACGACAUAGUUUGUGAUUUUAGAUCCACCAUCAUCUCGUGGGGGGUUCCAUGUUAGAAGACAUGACUCAUUGGUCACUUCUGUGAUGUCAAAAGCAGCUGGUGGUCCAGGUUUGUCUGUGGAUGACAUUAUACACUCAGGAAAAAAAUCAUUUAAAAAAUCAUGUUUUAUUUUUAAAAGUAACUGAAAUGAGUCUGCCCAUUUUUUAAAUGAUGGCCUCUCUUACCUAAGACGUUCACUUCUACCACAGCAGUGGCCCGACCACAGACGUUGACAGCCUCGAUGAUGUAUGUGCCAGUGUCACUUCUCUUACUAUCAAUGAUGGUCACUGUGGAUUUUUUAGGAACAUUUUCAAUGGUGAUUCUUUUGUCCUGCUUCAGAAGCAUAUCGGCUUUUGUCCAAGUUAUUUUAGGUUCAGGUUUUCCAGUUACAGUGGCAGGAAGUUCAAUUUUAGUUCCUGCUUUUACAGUGAGACCAGCAAGGAGCUUCACAUCAAGGAAAAUUUCUGGAGCCUCUGAAAUUGGAAAAGAUGAUUUAUAAUGUUAGCAAGCUCAAACAAAAUUAAAAGCAGAGGCCUGGUUAAUAAUACAAAAACCAAAAAUAAAUACCCUGUGUAUCCACAGCCUGGAUUUCAUCUGUGGGUUUGCUUGGUUUGCUAGCACCUUGCCUGUUCAGGGCCUUCACACGGUAGGCAUACCAUUUGCCUUCUUCAAGACCUGUUACUUCCAUUCUAUCAGAAAAUAAAAUGGUUUAUUUUACUAUAAUGCACACAACCUGUUUUAUAUGAUCUUUCUAAAAUUCAUACCUUCUCUUGGUAUAACACUUUUUAUUCCUUAAAUUAAUUCUGGAUUGCUUCAGUAUUAUAACUAAUGAACACCUUGGAUAGGGGAUAAGUUCAGUAGCACUCUUUAAAGUUGGAUAAGCACACCAGAGGAAUUAUCAAUGAAAAAAAUUAAUAGAUUUUCUAAAAGAAAAACACUAAUUUUAGUAAGAUGAAACAUUUACUCUUGUGUCAAAUAAUUAUAAAAAUCUACUCUGUGCACUUGUUGGAAUGAGCACUGGGUGUUGUAUGUAAGCCAAUUUGACAACAGAUUAUAUUAAAAACAAACAAAAACCCUACUUUGUGUCUGCAACUGGUUCCCCACAGGCAACCCAUCGAUCCGAACCACGUGGACAUUUUUCAACUAUAUAUCCUUUGAUGCGUGAACCACCAUCAUAUUUAGGUGGAUCCCAUGUUAGGAAGAUGCUGUUGGCUGUUCUAUCUCUCCAUUUAACGUUCUCUGGUGGGUCAGGUACCGCUAUAAACAUUUUAAAGAGAGUCAGUGUUAGAUAGGCCAUCUAUGAAAUCUCCAUAUUGCCUGCCCCUGCCUUUCCCCCAUAAAUUCGACUCCUGGUCUCAAAGCAAAAAAGGUAACAAGAGGCUCCAUAAGCAACCAUCAAGAAUGUACUCACUUGCAGGAGCUGACAUAUUUACAGGUUCAUCAACAUAAGCAGGCUCUCCUGGGCCACACUUGUUACGAGCACAGACUUUAAAUAAAUAUUCUUUCCCUUGAACAAGAUCAGGAACUGUGAAUUCUAGGUCAGGCACAAAGUCCAUAACCUGGGACAAAGAAAUAUAAUUACUCAUUUCUCAAAAGCCUGAGUCAAAGAUUUUUAUGACAAGCAGUGAUACAAAUGGAAAAUUUUUUUAAUGGUAAGGGUUAUUAAUUUUACACUAGGGAAAAAUUUGCAGAGUAAGACACAUAAUAUUUGAACCUUAUAUUAAGGUGAGACUUUCAUAACUUAUACACAUUAAAAAGGUGUCAAAUAAGGUAUUGGUUCUUUCCACCAGCUUGGUUAUUAGAAAUAUGCUUUUAAAUCAAGGUAAAAACCAAUAAUGAGAAAUGAAUAAAUAACAGUAAUAAACUGAAGAGAAAACAAAUGGUAGAUUGGGCCAACUAAGAUAAUCUAGUGGAGUGAGAAGUUUGAUGACCAGGGAGUUAAAUACUUAGUGUCCUUAGAAUGGCUGAUCGUUUCAUAGGGCACACUGGAUACUCAUCAGGUACCAAGUGAAUAGGUGAUUUUAUUUUUUAGCAAACAGUAGAAAAUUUGGUAAGGCACAAAAUAAGGUAGUUAUACCAAAUCUUGGUUGAACUACCUCAAGAAGCAUUAGCAUCAAGGCAUUUAAGAGAAGUUUUUGGGUCUUUUUCAGCAAGGUAAAUUUAAACCAUGUAAACUGUGCAUGGCAUCCCAGCAUUCUGGGAUUCCCCCCACUCUUUUUUCUGGAGUUAGUACAUUGCUGCUCAAAACUCACUUUAGUCCAUGUUUUCCGGCUGACUUCUCGCUUUUCAACAACAUAUCCAGUUAAUGGACUCCCUCCAUCAUCAUCUGGUGGUUCCCAAGUCAAAUGUACUGAGUCCUUGGUUAUGUCACCAAAUUUCAGUUCUUUGGGUGCACUUGGGCGAGCUGAAAAAAAGGUAGUCCAAAAUCAAUAUCGGUAAUAGAUUGAACCAAUAUUUGUUAAUACUGUCAAAUCACCAUAUGUAACAAAAGUUUAGUUCCUUACCAAUCACAUUGACGUCAAUUUCCCCAGAAAUUGCUUUUACGGGAUUUUCUAAUUUCAGUGUAUAAAUGCCCUUGUCUGGACGUUCACUUGGAGAAAUGACAAGUUCAGCAUAGGCAGAUAAGGUUUUCAUUUUCACACGGUCCCCUGCUUCUAGUACUUUAUCUCCAAAAGACCAGGUUGCAGUUGGCCUUGGAUAGCCUGUACUUGGAACCAGGAUCUUGAUAGGAUUUGGGACAAUAACUUCUAGACCAUCUUUAAAUGCACUUAAGUCCAUUGUUGGUUCAGCUACCAAAAAGAAAAAUUAAUGAGUCUCCAGCACUAUAUUUAAGGCUAUUAAGCUAUAUUAAGCUAUUAAGCUAUAUUAAGCUAUUAAAUCUAAAAAUAAAAUAUCCACUUACCAAAUGCAUCAUCAGCAGUUAGAGGACCAAGAAUUUCAGAUGGAUCUGAAACACCAGCUUCAUUUUCUGCAGAUACUCGAUAUAAAUAUUUAUUUCCUUUUUGUAAUCCAGUAACCUAAAGUAUGAAUCAAUAGUUGUAAGAAAAAUACACACACACACACACACACACACACACAUUUAAGUCCAUGAUCAUACAUUGAAUAUUUUUUUAGAUAUAAGCUCCCUACCUUGUAAGUCAGUUCAGGGACAAGUUUCAUAUUGCAACGAAUCCAAUUAUCUUUUCCUUCUUCACAUCGCUCAAUUAUAUAACCCAAUAUUGGACUUCCUCCAUCUUUCAGAGGAGGUUCCCAUGUGAGCUGAACUGAUGACUGAGUCUGAUCUGAGGAUUUUAGGUUCACAGGAGGACUUGGUCUCUCUGGAAUGGAAGAAAGAGUUGGAACAUACCAUUGAAUUCAGUAACAGUUUAUUAAGAUAACGUGUAAUCAUUGCUAUCAUCUGCAUUAAAAUAGCAGGUUUACUGAAUUCACUGAGUAAAAGUAGGCACAGCCUGGAUUUCUAUGAUUUUGCUGACAUCUUUCUGAUGUUCUAUCUUUUCAUUAACUCCAAUUUAUUUUAAUUAAUAGACUUAAUUUAUGGAUUUCAUGAAGUAAUUAUUUCCUUGUUUUGAUGAGCUUACCAAUUGGAUCAGCAACUUUGACAAAAGGUGUGGCUGCACUUGGUUUUCCAACUCCAAUGCGGUUUUGGGCUCUGACCCGGAAACUAUACUCCUGUCCUUCUACCACAUCAGUGACAGUUGCAGAUAGAUCUUCAGCUCUUACUGUCAUGGCAGUGUCCCAUCUGAUAGAAGUCUUGUCUCUCAAUUCAAUAACGUAGUUUGUGAUCACAGCUCCUCCAUCAUACUCUGGCGGUUCCCAUGUCAGUGAAACCCCAAAUCUAUUUAUGUCAGUGAUGGUUACAUUCAAAGGAGGGCCUGGAACAUCUGGAUUUCAUCAAAGAAGAAAACAUAGGUUCCGGGUUAAAUCAGAGAUAAAAGCAAAGAUAAGCUAGUUUGCAAUUUACUUAAAAACUUCUUACCAUAUUUACUCCUUGCUUCUACAGGAUUGUCAGUUUCUACUGGUUCACCAGUGCCAACUCUGUUUCUUGCACUGACACGGAACAGGUACUCAACUCCGCCUUUCUGUAGUCCAGUGACAGUGAACUCACAACUAUCUGCACGGUCAGUGGCCAGAACCCAGGUCUUUCUUUUGAUGUCACGUCUUUCAACAACAUAACCUAUGAUUUUGCUUCCGCCAUCAGUUAAUGGUUCUUCCCAACCAAGGCUUACUUCACCAUCAAAUGUUUCUGUCACUUCUAAGUUGCGAACUGGCCCUGGAACAUCUGAAAUGCACAUAUACAAUUUUUUUUAGUGUGUUGUCAUGCUUUUAAUUGUGCUUUGCCAAUCAAGUCCCAAGUGAUUCAAGGGCUUACCAAUAACUUUUAAAUUGAUGAAUGCUUCUGCUUUUCCAUGUUUGUUCUGAAGCACAAUUUUAUACCUUCCUUUGUCUCCUUUCUUAGCUUCUAAAAUUCUGAAAGAAGUUUGUUCAGCUGUAGUAUCAACAGUUUUUGAAGACAGAGCUUCAUUUUCUUUAAACCACUCGGCUUCUGCUUUAGGGUAGGCAUCAUAGGGCACCACCAUUGUCAGAGGCUGGCCAACAUCAACCACAAGAUCUUGAUCGCCUGUCUUGAUUUUAGGUGCAGCUGGUGAGAAAAAUAACACGUGAAUGCUUUUGACUUAUAUGUUUUAGUCCAGUUAUACCAUAGCUUCUUUACUAUGCAUUUGUUAGCAAAUAUCAGUGAUACAACCUUGGAAAUAUAUCACAGUAACUUUCUAGCACAGAACACUGACUGACUUAGAGUUCUCAUGGCUUAUUUUGCAAAUUGUCAGACUUGAGAACAGAGGAUUAAGGAUGAUUUUUAUAUCAUCCAUAAAAUCUCCAUUCUUUGCCAAAAUUAAUAAUGGAGAACUAAACAUAGUACAAAACAUGUUUGUUUUUGUGAAGUGGGCCUGUCAUACUUAGGGAUAAACCAGACAAACUACCUAGGUACAAGAGGAACACUAAAGGCUUUUUCAUAAUGUCAACCAAUAAGGAUGCCUUGGAAGCUUGAAUCAGGAUGAGAACAGACCUAAGAGGCUCCAUGGGGUUUGGAAAAUAGAAGAAACCUGAGUUUGCCCUAAGUCUAGGUUUUUGGGGAUGACUUUCAAGGCACUAUGUCAAUUCUAGGUACUAAUGAACAGCCACCAUGUGCCAGGAACUGUUCAAGGUUCUGGCAAGUAAAGAAAAAUGCUAUCAAUUACCUCUUACUCAGGACACCCUUGUGGUAAGAGAAAUUAGAAUAGUCACAUGUGGGUGGAGCCUAACAGAAAUUAAAGGCUUUCACAGGCAUUACCUCAUUAAUUGCAAAAUCUGAAACUUACAAUGCAUCUGUGAUAUUGUGAGGAUAUUUGAAAAUAAAAGAAAGGCAUUUACCUGCCAGUUCAAGCUUAGCUCUGGCUUCUUUGUCUUUGGCAAUAAAUCUGUAUUCACCCUGGUCACGAGGUUGAAUAUUACAAAUCUGUAACCUGUGUAUCUUUCCUUCACUCAUCAUCUGAUGUUUGUCACCCUGAACAACAACCAUGUUAUUUCUUAGCCACUGGACUUCCACCUUAUCUUUGUUGAGCUCAGCCAAAAAGACAACAUCAGCACCAGGGGCUUCAAGAAUAUCUUGGGGAGGCCUGAUGAUCUCAACAGGGAUUUCUGAAAAAAAUGCAAAAUGAAUACAAACAUGUUCAUAUUUGGGUUCACAACCUUUAAAAACUGGUGCUAAUAUUAAAAUUGUCCUUUCACUCAGUGUGUACCUUCCACAAAAAGUCUAGCUCGAGAUUUUCUGUCUUCCACUCCACAAGCAUAUUCACAUUCAUCAUCCAGCCUGCAAUCUUUGAUAAUGAGUCGGUGUAUACUUCCAUCUUUUUCAAAUUUGUAUCUAAGAGAAGAGAUUGAAUUAUUGGUUAGCUUGCAUAAUGAUCACUAAAUUGUCAAAUGUGUAAUAGUUACAGAAAUAGAGAUUAAGAAGCUUCCACUUACUU
rnacentral:lncRNA from 1 species